AAAAUUUUAUCAUCUUAAUAUUUAAAAAUUCCAAUCCGAUUCAAAUCCCAGAAAAUUCCAACUUCAUCUCUCUCUCUCUCUCUCUCACAUAUAUUAAACGAGGAAGAGUCAAAAUUACAAAAGUUCAUCCCAAUUUGUUUUCCUUAUUUCUUUCCCUUCUUGAAAGUCCUUGUUUCUUUCCACUCUCUUAUCUAAUUUAAUAUUCUCUAAAUGAAUCGAACUCAAAUUUUAAUUUGAGUUUGAUAUCUAACUGGAUAUAUCCAUACUCAGAUCAAUUUAGUCAAAAGUUUAAGUGCAACGGAAUUAUCUGGUCUACAACAUGAAAAUGAAAUGGACACCUGAAUUUGGUUAUCUACCUUGAGGCAUGGAUGAAGCAACAAAAAGUUGCCGAAGUUGGCCUAUAAAAGAAAUCUACCUAGUGAUCACAUUACGUUGUAUCAAGCUUCCUGUUGCAUUUCAAUUCCCAGUAAUCAGGCAAAAACAAGGGACAUGGAAUCAAGGAAACUUAGGAAAGAUAUAUGCAGGCAUAGUGGGGAGACAUUGCUCAUUGCUGGGGUCUCUUGAGGCACGAACCAUAUGCUGUCCAAUGUGUGGUGCUAAUACAAUACUUCAAAUGCCACAGCAGCUGGUCCCUCCUCCUGCGCAUGGACAGGCGUUAUGCCGUUAUCUACAAGGGACAUCCAAAGAUUGUCGAGGGUAGCAUCAAUGAUGUGUUAUUGACGAAAAAUCUUCUGGUUAAGAGGUUGGGCAUUCCCAAUUCUUCCAUCCAUUUUCUUGCAGGAAUCACCAGCUCUCUCUCUGUCCUACCAAAAAUAGUCUUUCUAUAAUGCCUAGACAGCUCAAAACUAGUAAUUGUUAGAAUAUACCUGCACCAAACACCAGCAGAUUCCAACAGAUUCCAGUAGCUUCCAGCUUCUUCCAGAUUUCAGCUGUAAUGUUAGUUACUAGUUUGUUAGUUGGUUAGUUCUUUCUCUAUAAAUACAGCAUGG
rnacentral:lncRNA from 1 species